AUUGAACGCUGGCGGCAGGCCUAACACAUGCAAGUCGAGCGGAUGAAGGGAGCUUGCUCCUGGAUUCAGCGGCGGACGGGUGAGUAAUGCCUAGGAAUCUGCCUGGUAGUGGGGGAUAACGUCCGGAAACGGGCGCUAAUACCGCAUACGUCCUGAGGGAGAGAGUGGGGGAUCUUCGGACCUCACGCUAUCAGAUGAGCCUAGGUCGGAUUAGCUAGUUGGUGGGGUAAAGCCUACCAAGGCGACGAUCCGUAACUGGUCUGAGAGGAUGAUCAGUCACACUGGAACUGAGACACGGUCCAGACUCCUACGGGAGGCAGCAGUGGGGAAUAUUGGACAAUGGGCGAAAGCCUGAUCCAGCCAUGCCGCGUGUGUGAAGAAGGUCUUCGGAUUGUAAAGCACUUUAAGUUGGGAGGAAGGGCAGUAAGUUAAUACCUUGCUGUUUUGACGUUACCAACAGAAUAAGCACCGGCUAACUUCGUG
rnacentral:rRNA from 1 species